AUGGCAGCGGCGAAUCCAAACUCCGGCGCCGAAUCGCUUGGAGGAGCGCCCCCCGACGUGGUUGGCGGCGGGGAUGCCAUCUUCGUUGAGAUUGAUAACUGGCUAGGCAGCAGUAGCUUUGCGGUCGAAAACCAAUCCCAGCCUCAACUUGAGCCGUCCCAGACGAUUGUGAAGAGGCGCAAUGUUGAAGAGAAGAGGCGUGUAGCAGCGUUGAAGAGAAGAGGCGCAGCUCGAGGCCGGCGCAAGCUUCCUUGUCCUGCUGGCGGCGCGAGUAUUGAUGACCCCAAGUGGGAAAUUUGGUUCCAUUUCUUAGCCAGAGAAUCUGUGAUUAGAGGAAUUUACCAGUCAGACAUAUCAUUUUUGACUAUGGUUUCUCUCAUUCGGAGUGAGGGCUAUGGAGCUGAUGAUUAUAUGUACUAUAUUGUCGAUGAGGAGAAAGGAAUAGAAGGUGACACUGAUGUGUUUGAAUUUCUUUCUGAUGAUGCGCAGUCGGGUUCAGAUGACAACAAUGUGCAAUUACAUCUAGGUUCCCCCUCUGAAGAAGAAGCUGCACAAGUAGAUACAUCAGUGGUCCAGAAACUUAAGCCAGUCAGAAACCCUGGUCCAACCAUUAGAUCCCACCAAGAGGUUCAGAAAGAGGUAAAACCAGACUGGUUUCCUGAAGCAGAUGAAUUUUGUUUUCCUGGUGAUGUUGGCAUUAGUGAUGAAGAAGAAGAGCCUGAAGGAGCUUUCAAAUUAGCAAGUGGCAGGAAGAGAGUGUUGAAGAAGUCAAAGGAUAGAGUAUGGUUCAAUGAGAAGCUUCCAGAUCCACAUGAACAGUUUUAGACCACAAAGGUUACUACAAAGUGGUUGUCCAAAUCAGUACAACCAGCAUUCAGAGAAGACAUUAGAUCUCCUGUGGAUGCAUUAAUAAAGAAGACUAAGACUAAAUUCUCAGUUGAUGUUUCAAGAAGUGUUGCCUAUAGGGCCAGGAGGAAGGCUGUUGGUGUAGUGCAGGGUGACCACAAGCAGCAGUACUUGAGGCUGAGUGAUUAUCUUCAAGUUGUUCUUGAUACAAACCCUGGGAGCAGGUGUAUUGUAACAACAUUUGUUGACCCAAAAAACCCUGCACCCACUCCUAGAUUCAAGUAUAUGUUCUACUGUUUGGCAGCUUCAAAGGAAGGGUUUCUUAAUGGUUGUAGACCAUUUAUAGGGCUUGAUGGAUGUUUCAUCAAGUUAACCACUGGACAACAAAUUCUUGCUGCCACAAGAAGGGAUGGCAACAACAACAUCUACCCUAUAGCUUUUGGUGUGGUUGACAAGGAAGAUGGAGACAGUUGGACUUGGUUUUUAACUCAGUUGAGAUGUUGCAUUGGUAGUGGCAACAAAUUUGGAACAUGCACGAUAAUAUCUGACAGGCAAAAGGGUUUACUUAAGGCAAUAAAUGAAGUGUUCCCUGAUUCACCUCAAAGAUUCUAUCUUAGGCACAUAUAUGCCAACUUCCAAUCAGCUGGUUACAGAAGCAAAGAACUAAAGAAGUGUGUUGACAAGGCUAGCUACUCUUAUACUAGACAUGGGCAUGAAUUAGGGAUGGCAGAGCUAAAAGCACAGUAUCUAGUUGUGAACAACCUUAGUGAAGUCUUCAACAAGAUGAUACUUGAUGUAAGAUCCAAACCAAUAAGGACAAUGUUUGAAGGGAUCAAGACAAAGCAGAUGAUCAAGAGGCAACAGACUAGGGAGAAGUUACAGACUUGCAGGUGGACAAUCACACCAAAUUACUCAGAGAUUCUAGAGGAGAAUAAAAAAUAUGCCAAGUACUGCCAGGCUGACAGAGCUGGUGAAACAAUUUGGCAAGUAACAAGCAAAGAAAAGCAAUAUUGUGUGGACAUGGCAACCUGCACAUGUGACUGUAAGAGAUGGAACAUGACAGGUGUACCUUGCAGUCAUGGCAUAUCUGCAAUGACAAAGCAAAAGCUGCAUCCUGAGGACUAUGUGUCUGAAUUCUUCAAGAAGCCAUUGUACAUGGAGACAUACAAAGCAAUUAUUUACCCUGUCCCUGGUCCAGAUUGCUGGCCUGAUACAAACACUCAAGACAUUCAUCCUCCUGUGUUUAAAGAAAAGGCAGGCAAAAAGCAGACAGCAAGGAGGAAGGGAGAGUUUGAGGUUCCAGCUCCAAGAGACACAAGUAGGAUGGGCACUAUCACAUGUGGAAACUGUGGUUUGGAAGGACAGAGGAAAACAGGGCAGUUUACUCUGAUAUACCUGCUUCAAGAACCACAUCAGUCCCUAUUGCAAGAGGUAGAAGAGGAGCACAAGCUUCAUGUAGGCCUGCUACAUCUCAACCAGGUCCUUCUACUUCUGCACCAGGCCCUACACCAAGAGCUAAAAGAGGUAGGACUGCAGGUGGAGGGAGGAUCCAUGGAUUCACUGCACCAAGAGCUGCAACCACUUCAGAUAUUCAAGUUGGGACCAAGAGGAAGAGGACCCCAAGCUCAAAAUUGGCAGGCUACUUCUACUGCAGUGGGAUGGGUUGCCAUGCUUUAUGGUUCAGCGCGCGGCGACGACGACCUCUUCGUGGACUACAUGAAAGUCGUCACAAGGUACACCAGCGUUCAAGAUCUGGUGGAUGGAGCAGACGAAGUGAGAAAGAAGGCGACGAGUGAGGAGAAGCAAUGCAUGGACCAGCAAUAUGGAAACCGAGGUAAGGGGAUCCUGUCCAUAGAUACACUGCUAUGGGCAAUGAAAGAGGCGGGCUCCGCCGAUGCUGGGCAGAGGCAGCGGUGGGCAGACCACCACUACGUCGCCCCAGCACAAUCUACGGCUGAAGCAAACGCAAACAAGCACCAAGACGAGGACGACGACCUCCAGAUCAUCGCACCACCAUCACUGCAGGCUCGCCGCCGCCCUCCUCCCAUCAUCUUCAUCGAUGAAGGAGAAGAUGAAGAAGAACAGGAGGUGCAGAUGCUGGCAAAUCAUCCUACCAAAGUGAAGCAGGAGGUACGACGCUCAGGCCGCUUAGCAGGGCAGGCGCCUAACUGA
rnacentral:rRNA from 1 species